rnacentral:rRNA from 1 species
GAUGAACGCUGGCGGCGUGCCUAAUACAUGCAAGUCGAGCGAACAGACGAGGAGCUUGCUCCUCUGACGUUAGCGGCGGACGGGUGAGUAACACGUGGAUAACCUACCUAUAAGACUGGGAUAACUUCGGGAAACCGGAGCUAAUACCGGAUAAUAUAUUGAACCGCAUGGUUCAAUAGUGAAAGACGGUUUUGCUGUCACUUAUAGAUGGAUCCGCGCCGCAUUAGCUAGUUGGUAAGGUAACGGCUUACCAAGGCAACGAUGCGUAGCCGACCUGAGAGGGUGAACGGCCACACUGGAACUGAGACACGGUCCAGACUCCGACGGGAGGCAGCAGUAGGGAAUCUUCCGCAAUGGGCGAAAGCCUGACGGAGCAACGCCGCGUGAGUGAUGAAGGUCUUCGGAUCGUAAAACUCUGUUAUUAGGGAAGAACAAAUGUGUAAGUAACUAUGCACGUCUUGACGGUACCUAAUCAGAAAGCCACGGCUAACUACGUG